rnacentral:rRNA from 1 species
UAGCGGCGGACGGGUGAGUAAUGCGUAGGAAGCUGCCCGAUAGAGGGGGAUACCAGUUGGAAACGACUGUUAAUACCGCAUAAUGUCUACGGACCAAAGUAUGGGACCUUCGGGCCAUAUGCUAUCGGAUGCGCCUACGUGGGAUUAGCUAGUUGGUGUGGUAAUGGCGCACCAAGGCGACGAUCCCUAGCUGGUUUGAGAGGAUGAUCAGCCACACUGGGACUGAGACACGGCCCAAACUCCUACGGGAGGCAGCAGUGGGGAAUAUUGGACAAUGGGCGCAAGCCUGAUCCAGCCCUGCCGCGUGUGUGAAAAAAGGCUUCCGGUUGUAAAGCACUUUCAGCGAGGAAGAAGGGUGUUGUGUUAAUAGCACAGCAUUUUGACGUUACUCGCAGAAGAAGCACCGGCUAACUCCGUGCCAGCAGCCGCGGUAAUACGGAGGGUGCAAGCGUUAAUCGGAAUUACUGGGCGUAAAGCGCACGCAGGCGGCUUUUUAAGUCGGAUGUGAAAGCCCCGGGCUCAACCUGGGAAUUGCAUUCGAUACUGGAAAGCUAGAGUAUGUGAGAGGGGGGGUAAAAUUCCAGGUGUAGCGGUGAAAUGCGUAGAGAUUUGGAGGAAUACCAGUGGCGAAAGCGGCCCCCUGGCACACUACUGACGCUCAG